rnacentral:lncRNA from 1 species
UUAAAAAUCAUACAAUUAGAAAACAUAAUAGCUUUUGGUUUACAGUAGUUUGAAUCAAGUAACUUUAAAUUUAAAAUGUUAAGCUACUAAGUUAAAAUUUCCUAUACUAAAUAGCUAAUUUCCUACAAGUCAUAAUAAAUAACAAUGAAUCUGUUUUUAAUAAUUGACUGUGUGCUUAUUAUGCAGUGAUGAAAAAAAAUGUUGCGAACAAAUCUUGUUCUAUUGAAACGACUAAUAUUUCAUCCAUUGACGUUGACAGUUUACCAUGCAUCAGUUACUGAAUUUCACUUAGUUGACAGCAGUCUUAAUUUGACAGAUCUUUACAAAACAAACGAUCAUCAAACUGAUUCAAUUUCAGAGUGCGAUAAUAAGAAUAUUUAUUAUCUAGGAAUUGAUCCAGUCAUGUAGGUAAUAGCUGAUAUUUUAAGAGAUUUUGUAUGUAGUUAUGGUUUCAAGAUCUGGAAAAUCUAAAUAUUUCCAAUUCUAAAAGAUCAUACACAAAUGUCUAAAAGGUGUCAAUAGAACUUUUUCAGAUACUUUAACAAAAAUUGUCUUCAAACAACUCUACAAAAUGGAGAAAAAAUAGCACGUAGUUACUUGGUCUAUUCAGAAAGCAAAGGAGCUCUUUUUUGUUAUCCUUGUAUGAUACUUGGUAAAGUAACUAAUUUUGCAACAACAGGAUUUUCGUUACGGAAAAAAACAAAAGAAUGAAUUAAAGAACAUAAUUAAUAAUAAUAAAUAAUUCAAUAAAGCAUCGAAACUGUAUAAUUAAAUUGAAAAACUAUAGCAAGGUAUAUUGCAGAAUUGAUCUGCAAUUAGAUAAUCAGAUUAAUGAUGAAUGAUUUUAUUGGAUAAAUGUUUUAAAGAGAGUAGUAUUAGUAGUCAAAUCAUUAGCGUCAAGAGGAUUGUCAUUUAGGGGUCAUGACUCAAAAAUAGGAAGUUCUCGUAAUGGAAAUUUUUUAAUGGGCUAAGAGUUAAUUGCCAAGUUUAAUUCAUUUCUUGCUACUCACUUCUCAAAAUAUGGUAAUCUCGGAAAAGGAAAAACUUCUUACACGUCAUAUCAAACUUAUGAACAGUUUAUUUAUAUUAUGGCUGAAGAAUCACAGAAAACCAUUAUCGAAGAAAUAAAAAUUGCCAGAUAUUAUUCUAUAAGUGAUGACUCGACACCCGAUAUUGCGCAUACAGAUCAAUUAUCUUUCAUUGUGCAAUAUGUAAAAGAAGAUGGUCAACUAAUAGAAAGAUUUUUAUGCUUUAUUGAAGAUGUUGGGCAUAAGUCUGAAUAAAUUGUUACUGCUGUCUUUUUAAUUUUUGACAAGUAUAAAUUAGAUCUUAAACAUUUAAGAGGGGAGUCGUAUGAUAAUGCCAGUAAUAUGGCUGGUAUAUAUAAUGGAUUACAAGCAAGAAUUAAAAAAUCGAGUCAACAUGCACAAUUUGUUCCUUGUUCGGCACAUUAACUUAAUUUAGUUGGCAUAAAUGCUGCUAGUUGUUGCCAAAAUGCGGUAUAUUUUUUUGACUUGCUUCAAAAAUUAUACAUAUUCUUUACAUCUUCAACUCAUUGCUGGAAAAUUUUAAAUUUGAAUGUAAAAAGUUUAUCAGAAACAAGAUGGUCAGCUCGCGAUGAUGCUUGUAAAGCACUAAAUAAAAAUAGAGAAUUCAUCAUAAAUGCUUUAGAAAAAAAUUGAUCAAGAUGUUACAGAAAAGCCAGUUACCCGUUGUGAAGCCAAAGGUAUUAUUAAAAAAAUUAAUACCUUAGAAAUAUCAUUACUUUCAUUAUUUUGAGGUGAUAUUCCUAGUAUGUUAGAUUUAAUAAAUGUAGUAGAAAUCUAAAAUCAAUUGAAAUUAAAUUUGGGUACAGUCAUAGAAAUUUAUUAGUCAUUAAUUACUUAUGUAAAUGACCUCCGUACAGAUGAAGAAUACAAACAUUAUUCAGAUCUGGCAAUUUCAAUUUCAUCUGAAAAUUAGAAGUCCGAGAACAAGCAAAAUGUCUUCAAGAUUUAUAUGUAGAUGAUUUAAGAAGUUAUUUUCCCAAUGAAUGUGUUCACUUUAAAUCGCAUAAAAAGAACCUUGAAGUUGAUGAAACACCAAAAAGUAUUCAGCAAAUGCUUGUUUUUAUAAAAAAUAAUGAUUUUUCUGAAAUGUAUCCUUAUAUUGUUAUUGCGUUAAGAAUGUUUUUAUGUACACCAUGUACCAACUAUUUCACUGAACGGUCUUUUUCAGCUUUAAAAAGGGUUAAAUCAUAUAUAAGAAAAAUAUAAAAAAAGGAAAGACUAAAUGCAUUGGCAAUCCUAAAUAUUGAUAAUGACCUUACCACUAAACUGAAUUAUAACAAUGUUAUUAAUAUUUUUGCUGCUAAGCAAGCACGCAGAAAAUUGUAAAUUUAUAUUAUUUUAAA